rnacentral:rRNA from 1 species
GACAGAGGGGGCAAACGUUGCUCGGAAUCACUGGGCGUAAAGGGCGUGUAGGCGGUCAGGUAAGUCAGAUGUGAAAUCCCUGGGCUCAACCCAGGAACUGCAUUUGAAACUCCCUUUCUUGAGUGUCGGAGAGGAAAGUGGAAUUCCUGGUGUAGAGGUGAAAUUCGUAGAUAUCAGGAGGAACACCAGUGGCGAAGGCGGCUUUCUGGACGAAAACUGACGCUGAGACGCGAAAGCGUGGGGAGCAAACAGG